rnacentral:tRNA from 1 species
GGGCCCGUAGCUUAGCAUGGUUAGAGCGCUCGGCUGAUAACCGGGAGGUCCUGGGUUCAAAUCCCAGCGGGCCCA